CUUUGCAAGUUUGGUUUGGAAAGUUCAACACUGUAAUUUUAUCACUUUGUGUUUUAUCGGCAUUAUGCAUCAAAUUCAGUAUUUCAUGAGAAAAUUAAGCACAUUGAGAUUGACUGACAUUAUGCAUCAAAUCUAGUAUUUAAUGAGAAGACAAGCACAUUGAGAUUGACUGUCAAUUUUGUGAAGUCCACUGAUCAACUUGCGGAUAUCUCACCAAGCCCCUCAUCG
rnacentral:lncRNA from 1 species